ACGGGAGGCAGCAGUGGGGAAUAUUGGGCAAUGGGCGAAAGCCUGACCCAGCAACGCCGCGUGAAGGAUGAAGGUCUUCGGAUUGUAAACUUCUUUGAUUGGGGAAGAAUAAAUGACCUACCCAAAGAACAAGCCACGGCUAACUACGUGCCAGCAGCCGCGGUAAUACGUAGGUGGCAAGCGUUAUCCGGAUUUACUGGGUGUAAAGGGCGUGUAGGCGGCUCUGCAAGUCAGAAGUGAAAUUCCUGGGCUCAACCCGGGAGCUGCUUCUGAAACUGCAGAACUUGAGUACUGGAGGGGAAAGCGGAAUUCCUAGUGUAGCGGUAAAAUGCGCAGAUAUUAGGAGGAACACCGGUGGCGAAGGCAGCCUGCUGGGGACUCAUCGACGCUGAGGCUCGAAAGUGCGGGUAGCAAACAGGAUUAGAUACCCUGGUA
rnacentral:rRNA from 1 species